rnacentral:rRNA from 1 species
AUUCGAUCACUGAAGUCAAGCAUCAUUGGGCGCGGUCAGUACUUCGGUGGGUGACCACCCGGAACACCGCGUGCCGU